GAUGAACGCUAGCGGCAGGCUUAAUACAUGCAAGUCGAGGGGCAGCAUGUCCCGCAGCAAUGCGGGAUGAUGGCGACCGGCAAACGGGUGCGGAACACGUACACAACCUUCCUUUGAGCGGGGAAUAGCCCGGGGAAACCCGGAUUAAUACCUCAUAGUAUGGUGAAGAGGCAUCUCUUUACUAUUAAAGAUUUAUCACUUAAAGAUGGGUGUGCGGCUGAUUAGGUAGUUGGCGGGGUAACGGCCCACCAAGCCUACGAUCAGUAACUGGUGUGAGAGCACGACCAGUCACACGGGCACUGAGACACGGGCCCGACUCCUACGGGUGGCAG
rnacentral:rRNA from 1 species